UGGGAAUUUGGACAAUGGGCGAAAGCCUGAUCCAGCAAUGCCGCGUGUGUGAAGAAGGCCUUCGGGUUGUAAAGCACUUUUGUCCGGAAAGAAAUCCUUGGCUCUAAUACAGUCGGGGGAUGACGGUACCGGAAGAAUAAGCACCGGCUAACUACGUGCCAGCAGCCGCGGUAAUACGUAGGGUGCAAGCGUUAAUCGGAAUUACUGGGCGUAAAGCGUGCGCAGGCGGUUUGCUAAGACCGAUGUGAAAUCCCCGGGCUCAACCUGGGAACUGCAUUGGUGACUGGCAGGCUAGAGUAUGGCAGAGGGGGGUAGAAUUCCACGUGUAGCAGUGAAAUGCGUAGAGAUGUGGAGGAAUACCGAUGGCGAAGGCAGCCCCCUGGCCAAGUACUGACGCUCAUGCACGAAAGCGUGGGGAGCAAAACAGGAUUAGAUACCCUGGUAGUCCACGCCCUAAAACGAUGUCAACUAGUUGUUGGGGAUUCAUUUCCUUAGUAACGUAGCUAACGCGUGAAGUUGACCGCCUGGGGAGUACGGUCGCAAGAUUAAAACUCAAAUGAAUUGACGGGGUCAUAGCUGUUUCCU
rnacentral:rRNA from 1 species